rnacentral:rRNA from 1 species
CCUACGGGUGGCUGCAGUGGGGAAUAUUGCACAAUGGGCGAAAGCCUGAUGCAGCGACGCCGCGUGAGGGAUGACGGCCUUCGGGUUGUAAACCUCUUUCAGUAGGGAAGAAGUAGGGGAGUUUUCUCCUUUGUGACGGUACCUGCAGAAGAAGCGCCGGCUAACUACGUGCCAGCAGCCGCGGUAAUACGUAGGGCGCAAGCGUUGUCCGGAAUUAUUGGGCGUAAAGAGCUCGUAGGCGGUUUGUCGCGUCUGCUGUGAAAUCCCCAGGCUCAACCUGGGGCGUGCAGUGGGUACGGGCAGACUAGAGUGCGGUAGGGGAGACUGGAAUUCCUGGUGUAGCGGUGGAAUGCGCAGAUAUCAGGAGGAACACCGAUGGCGAAGGCAGGUCUCUGGGCCGUAACUGACGCUGAGGAGCGAAAGCAUGGGGAG